AGGUGCAUGUCACACUCACGAGGGAUUGUUGGUAGCCCUUAUGGGAUGGGUCACAAACGUGCUACAAUGACAAUUAUAAUGGGAAGCAAGUUUGUAAGACCGAGCAAAUCCGAAAAGAUUGCCUCAGUUUGGAUUGUUCUCUAUAACUUAGGAACAUGAAGUUGGAAUCGAUAGUAAUUGUGGAUCAGCAUGUCACGGUGAAUAUGUACUCAGGCCCU